rnacentral:hammerhead_ribozyme from 1 species
AUCCAACUGAUGAGUCUUAGGUAGGACGAAACGUGUGUCUUAGAU